UGUGUUUCCUAUAAACCUAAAUAGAAAAUUGUAUUAAUUUCUAACUAGGAAAUAAAUCACAAUUGUUCGUGUUUUAUUCGUAUACAAAUUUUGUCCAUUUUUAUGGAACAAAAAAAAUGUGUACUUAAUCACAUUUUUACGAUUUUCAUUUUUAUUUUAAACAUGCGCGAAUUUCUUUUUAUGCAAUUAUUGCGUAAAAAUAUCACGUUUUACCAAAUUAUUAAGAAACCUACAAAUAAAAUUAAAAAAUUACUUCCCCAACGCAAAAACUAACCAACAUUUCAAACCACUGCUAAUGUUUAUAAAUGUAGCUAGAUUUCUUGUAAAAAUUUUGCUAGCAGAAACAUUUUAAAGACGCACAUCGUAGUAAAAUCAAUACGUUCAGAAUUUGAAAAAAAAAAAGAAAAUCAUAAUUUUCUGAGGUACCGAUUAAGACCGAAAAUAAAACAAUUUAUUCUGCCCUCGAUCGCCGACUUGUUUUUUUUGUCACCCGUGGAGACGAACGUUUAUAAAAAAUAUUUCAUUCCAUCCGUGGCGAUCGUCGAUGUGGUCGAUGAUAUCCCCGGGGACAGUCAUUGGUCCGAAUUUACCGUUGGCGUUUUUCUAAUUCCCGACGGGUAUCGGAACACGAAGAAUACCGAACCCGACGACCCGCGUUUACAGGAUUUACAAGUUUUUUUUUUUUUUCUGGAGUUCAUUAUAUUAUUUUGUUUUCCGCCGAAUACCCACUGCUGCAAACGUAUUGUGUGUGACCCUAAAAGUACAUGAAAAUUCAAUUUAACCGUGACCCAAUAGAAAUAUAUUCAUAUACUUCCUCGUACGUCGUUUGUUCGAUAUGUUCGAUAUUUAAGCCGAAACAGACCGGCGGAGUAGUGGGAACCAAAAUUCAGGCUGAGAUAUUGCGAUUAAUAAUGGUCAUCCAAUAAUAUGCGUACUGUCUAUAAAUUUUCUCACUACGCUCUAUUUCAUGUUUUUUUUAUUCGAUCC